CUCUUCAUUCAAAGAUGAAGUUCAAGUUCUCCAAUUUAUGAUGAUUCUGAUUGUGUUAUAAUUUUUCAUUUUAGUUCAUAGUGUAUAUAUAGAUCAUGUUGUAAAGAAUGAGAGGAAAAUUUGUAGAAGCCAAACCAAUGCCCUCACAAAUUUGUGGUCGCCUAUGUCCUCUCAAAUUCUAACAUGUUUUGGAAUUUUGCUCUAUCCAUGUAUAUCAGGUUCAAUUUCUUGAUCAUCUUGAUCUUGGAAGAGUUAAGAAACUAACUACCUAAUUAACAAACUAACUAACUAACUCUAUCCAUGUAUAUCAGGUUCAAUUUCUUGAUCAUCUUGAUCUUGGAAGAGUUAUAAAAUAAAACUGUAUUGAUUUUUCUUNNNNN
rnacentral:lncRNA from 1 species